rnacentral:rRNA from 1 species
AUACGUAGGGAGCGAGCGUUGUCCGGAAUUACUGGGUGUAAAGGGUGCGUAGGCGGGACUGCAAGUCAGAUGUGAAAUGCCGGGGCUCAACCCCGGAGCUGCAUUUGAAACUGUGGUUCUUGAGUGAGGUAGAGGUAAGCGGAAUUCCUAGUGUAGCGGUGAAAUGCGUAGAUAUUAGGAGGAACAUCGGUGGCGAAGGCGGCUUACUGGGCCUUUACUGACGCUGAGGCACGAAAGCGUGGGGAGCAAACAGGAUUAGAUACCCUGGUAGUCCACGCUGUAAACGAUGAUGACUAGGUGUGGGGGGACUGAACCCUUCCGUGCCGCAGUUAACACAAUAAGUCAUCCACCUGGGGAGU